rnacentral:pre_miRNA from 1 species
UCUUCAUCUCGCACAUUCUCUCACCGAACAGAGAGGCGAGAUAGUGUGCGAAAUGAAGAGA